GGCUUUGUAGCUCAGAAGGUGGAGCGUCGUUCUAGAAAUGCGAAGGUCCCGGGUUCGAUUCCCGGCCGUGCUC
rnacentral:tRNA from 1 species